AUUGAACGCUGGCGGCAGGCCUAACACAUGCAAGUCGGACGGUAGCACAGAGAGCUUGCUCUCGGGUGACGAGUGGCGGACGGGUGAGUAAUGUCUGGGGAUCUGCCCGAUAGAGGGGGAUAACCACGGGAAACGGUGGCUAAUACCGCAUAACGUCGCAAGACCAAAGAGGGGGACCUUCGGGCCUCUCACUAUCGGCAGAACCCAGAUGGGAUUAGCUAGUAGGCGGGGUAAUGGCCCACCUAGGCGACGAUCCCUAGCUGGUCUGAGAGGAUGACCAGCCACACUGGAACUGAGACACGGUCCAGACUCCUACGGGAGGCAGCAGUGGGGAAUAUUGCACAAUGGGCGCAAGCCUGAUGCAGCCAUGCCGCGUGUAUGAAGAAGGCCUUCGGGUUGUAAAGUACUUUCAGCGGGGAGGAAGGCGGUGAGGUUAAUAACCUCACCGAUUGACGUUACCCGCAGAAGAAGCACCGGCUAACUCCGUGCCAGCAGCCGCCGUAA
rnacentral:rRNA from 1 species